UACGAAGGGGGCUAGCGUUGCUCGGAUUUACUGGGCGUAAAGCGUGCGUAGCGGUGCCAUAAGUCUGUUGUGAAAUCUCCCGGCUUAACUGGGAGGGUGCGGUGGAAACUGUGGUGCUGGAGUGUGGGAGAGGUAGGCGGAAUUCCUGGUGUAGCGGUGAAAUGCGCAGAUAUCAGGAGGAACACCGGUGGCGAAGGCGGGUCUCUGGGCAACAACUGACGCUGGAGGAGCGAAAGCGUGGGGAGCGAACAGG
rnacentral:rRNA from 1 species